rnacentral:rRNA from 1 species
UAGGGAAUCUUCGGCAAUGGACGAAAGUCUGACCGAGCAACGCCGCGUGAGUGAAGAAGGUUUUCGGAUCGUAAAACUCUGUUGUUAGAGAAGAACAAGGACGUUAGUAACUGAACGUCCCCUGACGGUAUCUAACCAGAAAGCCACGGCUAACUACGUGCCAGCAGCCGCGGUAAUACGUAGGUGGCAAGCGUUGUCCGGAUUUAUUGGGCGUAAAGCGAGCGCAGGCGGUUUCUUAAGUCUGAUGUGAAAGCCCCCGGCUCAACCGGGGAGGGUCAUUGGUAACUGGGAGACUUGAGUGCAGAAGAGGAGAGUGGAAUUCCAUGUUUAGCGGUGAAAUGCGUAGAUAUAUGGAGGAACACCAUUGGCGAAGGCGGCUCUCUGGUCUGUAACUGACGCUGAGGCUCGAAAGCUUGGGGAGCAAACAGG